UACGUAGGGUGCGGAGCGUUAAUCGGAAUUACUGGGCGUAAAGCGUGCGCAGGCGGUUCUCCAAGUCCGUUGUGAAAGCCCCGGGCUCAACCUGGGAAUGGCAGGUGGAAACUAGGGGACUUGAAUCUGGCAGAGGGGGGUGGAAUUCCACGUGUAGCAGUGAAAUGCGUAGAGAUGUGGAGGAACACCGAUGGCGAAGGCAGCCCCCUGGGCUGAGAUUGAC
rnacentral:rRNA from 1 species